rnacentral:rRNA from 1 species
CCUACGGGUGGCAGCAGUGGGGAAUAUUGGACAAUGGGCGAAAGCCUGAUCCAGCCAUGCCGCGUGUGUGAAGAAGGCCUUCGGGUUGUAAAGCACUUUCAGUGGGGAAGAAAGCCUUGGGGCUAAUACCCUCGAGGAAGGACAUCACCCACAGAAGAAGCACCGGCUAACUCCGUGCCAGCAGCCGCGGUAAUACGGAGGGUGCGAGCGUUAAUCGGAAUUACUGGGCGUAAAGCGCGCGUAGGCGGUCUGAUAAGCCGGUUGUGAAAGCCCCGGGCUCAACCUGGGAACAGCAUCCGGAACUGUCAGGCUAGAGUGCAGGAGAGGAAGGUAGAAUUCCCGGUGUAGCAGUGAAAUGCGUAGAGAUCGGGAGGAAUACCAGUGGCGAAGGCGGCCUUCUGGACUGACACUGACGCUGAGGUGCGAAAGCGUGGGUAGCAAACAGGAUUAGAUACCCGUGUAGUC